UACGAAGGGGGCUAGCGUUGUUCGGAUUUACUGGGCGUAAAGCGCGUGUAGGCGGGUCGUUAAGUUGGGGGUGAAAUCCCGAGGCUCAACCUCGGAACUGCCUUCAAAACUGGCGACCUGGACUCAAGUAGAGGCAAGUGGAAUUGCGAGUGUAGAGGUGGAAUUCGUAGAUAUUCGCAGGAACACCAGUGGCGAAGGCGACUUGCUGGACUUGUAGUGACGCUGAGACGCGAAAGCGUGGGGAGCAAACAGG
rnacentral:rRNA from 1 species